UAGGGAAUCUUCCGCAAUGGGCGAAAGCCUGACGGAGCAACGCCGCGUGAGUGAUGAAGGGCUUCGGAUCGUAAAACUCUGUUAUUAGGGAAGAACAAAUGUGUAAGUAACUAUGCACGUCUUGACGGUACCUAAUCAGAAAGCCACGGCUAACUACGUGCCAGCAGCCGCGGUAAUACGUAGGUGGCAAGCGUUAUCCGGAAUUAUUGGGCGUAAAGCGCGCGUAGGCGGUUUUUUAAGUCUGAUGUGAAAGCCCACGGCUCAACCGUGGAGGGUCAUUGGAAACUGGAAAACUGGAGUGCAGAAGAGGAAAGUGGAAUUCCAUGUGUAGCAGUGAAAUGCGCAGAGAUAUGGAGGAACCCCAGUGGCGAAGGCGACUUUCUGGUCUGUACCUGACGCUGAUGUGCGAAAGCGUGGGGAUCAAACAGG
rnacentral:rRNA from 1 species